rnacentral:rRNA from 1 species
CGUAGGGAAACUUACGCUAAUACCGCAUACGACCUUAGGGUGAAAGCGGAGGACCUUCGGGCUUCGCGCGGAUAGAUGAGCCGAUGUCGGAUUAGCUAGUUGGCGGGGUAAAGGCCCACCAAGGCGACGAUCCGUAGCUGGUCUGAGAGGAUGAUCAGCCACACUGGAACUGAGACACGGUCCAGACUCCUACGGGAGGCAGCAGUGGGGAAUAUUGGACAAUGGGCGCAAGCCUGAUCCAGCCAUGCCGCGUGGGUGAAGAAGGCCUUCGGGUUGUAAAGCCCUUUUGUUGGGAAAGAAAAGCAGCCGGUUAAUACCCGGUUGUUCUGACGGUACCCAAAGAAUAAGCACCGGCUAACUUCGUGCCAGCAGCCGCGGUAAUACGAAGGGUGCAAGCGUUACUCGGAAUUACUGGGCGUAAAGCGUGCGUAGGUGGUUGUUUAAGUCCGUUGUGAAAGCCCUGGGCUCAACCUGGGAAUUGCAGUGGAUACUGGGCAACUAGAGUGUGGUAGAGGAUGGCGGAAUUCCCGGUGUAGCAGUGAAAUGCGUAGAGAUCGGGAGGAACAUCUGUGGCGAA